rnacentral:rRNA from 1 species
AGUGAACGCUGGCGGUAGGCCUAACGCAUGCAAGUCGAACGGCAGCACAGUAAGAGCUUGCUCUUACGGGUGGCGAGUGGCGGACGGGUGAGGAAUACAUCGGAAUCUACUUUUUCGUGGGGGAUAACGUAGGGAAACUUACGCUAAUACCGCAUACGACCUACGGGUGAAAGCAGGGGAUCUUCGGACCUUGCGCGAUUGAAUGAGCCGAUGUCGGAUUAGCUAGUUGGCGGGGUAAAGGCCCACCAAGGCGACGAUCCGUAGCUGGUCUGAGAGGAUGAUCAGCCACACUGGAACUGAGACACGGUCCAGACUCCUACGGGAGGCAGCAGUGGGGAAUAUUGGACAAUGGGCGCAAGCCUGAUCCAGCCAUACCGCGUGGGUGAAGAAGGCCUUCGGGUUGUAAAGCCCUUUUGUUGGGAAAGAAAAGCAGCAGGUUAAUACCCCGCUGUCCUGACGGUACCCAAAGAAUAAGCACCGGCUAACUUCGU